rnacentral:rRNA from 1 species
GAGUUUGAUCCUGGCUGAGAUUGAACGCUGGCGGAAUGCUUUACACAUGCAAGUCGAGCGGCAGCGCGGUCUUCGGACUGGCGGCGAGCGGCGAACGGGUGAGUAAUACAUCGGAACAUGCCCAGUCGUGGGGGAUAACACUUCGAAAGAAGUGCUAAUACCGCAUACGUCCUGAGGGAGAAAGCGGGGGAUCGCAAGACCUCGCGCGAUUGGAGUGGCCGAUGUCAGAUUAGCUAGUUGGUGGGGUAAAGGCCUACCAAGGCAACGAUCUGUAGCUGGUCUGAGAGGAUGAUCAGCCACACUGGGACUGAGACACGGCCCAGACUCCUACGGGAGGCAGCAGUGGGGAAUUUUGGACAAUGGGGGCAACCCUGAUCCAGCCAUUCCGCGUGAGUGAAGAAGGCCUUCGGGUUGUAAAGCUCUUUCGGCAGGAACGAAACGGCGAGCUCUAACAUAGCUCGCUAAUGACGGUACCUGAAGAAGAAGCACCGGCUAACUACGUGCCAGCAGCCGCGGUAAUACGUAGGGUGCGAGCGUUAAUCGGAAUUACUGGGCGUAAAGCGUGCGCAGGCGGUUGUGUAAGACAGGUGUGAAAUCCCCGGGCUUAACCUGGGAACUGCGCUUGUGACUGCACGGCUAGAGUAUGGCAGAG